CGUAUCGACGACACAUGAUGCUUAACUUUUCCAAAUGUUAAAUCUAUCUCAAAGUUCAACUGUUCAAGACUUCAAGCUGCUAGCGUGUAAAAGAUGGAUACAAGAGAAAACAGAAAUCUAUUUUACAUGAAAAGAGUAAUCAAUGUGGUACAAACGGAACUUGCUCAAUUUUUCAUCAAAGAAUGGAACUCUCGUUACAAAUCAACACAUGGAGAAUGGGAUGAUACACACAACAGUGGGAACAAAUUUUACACUUUAGAAUCGGGUAGGAAGUUGGAUAAAAAACUACAAUUAAAAUAUCAAAAUGGAGACACAAGUAAAUGGGACUGCACAACAUUAUUCGAUGCUAUACUCUUUUCAAAAUCGAUUGGCAGACAUCUUCAUAAAAACACAAAGAUUGCUGUUCAUGCACUUCGCGGUGAAAGAAACAAGUACGCACAUUGGUAUAAAAGCGAAUGCUCAGAUGAUGAUUUUGAUGAUAUAGU